AUUGAACGCUGGCGGCAGGCCUAACACAUGCAAGUCGAGCGGCAGCGGGAAAGUAGCUUGCUACUUUUGCCGGCGAGCGGCGGACGGGUGAGUAAUGCCUGGGGAUCUGCCCAGUCAAGGGGGAUAACUACUGGAAACGGUAGCUAAUACCGCAUACGCCCUACGGGGGAAAGCAGGGGACCUUCGGGCCUUGCGCGAUUGGAUGAACCCAGGUGGGAUUAGCUAGUUGGUGAGGUAAUGGCUCACCAAGGCGACGAUCCCUAGCUGGUCUGAGAGGAUGAUCAGCCACACUGGAACUGAGACACGGUCCAGACUCCUACGGGAGGCAGCAGUGGGGAAUAUUGCACAAUGGGGGAAACCCUGAUGCAGCCAUGCCGCGUGUGUGAAGAAGGCCUUCGGGUUGUAAAGCACUUUCAGCGAGGAGGAAAGGUCGGUAGCUAAUAACUGCCAGCUGUGACGUUACUCGCAGAAGAAGCACCGGCUAACUCCGUGCCAGCCGCCGCGGUAAUAC
rnacentral:rRNA from 1 species